UGUACAGUACAUGCAUGGUCAACUCAAUCAAGUUUAAGUUCUGUGUUCUUAGAGCGUGAGUGACACUGUGUACUUUGUGCAAGACCCACUAUUAACUAAUGUAUUAUGCUCUUAAACUUUGUUAACUUUGGUGGCUGUGUGUUUCUCUUUCAAUUUCAUGUAUUAUUAGCAUUCGUACGUAUACAUGUACUACUCGAUAUAGACUAACAAUAUAUUUUUCACUUAUUCGCUUAACCCUUUCCCGGCUUUAGCCGUCAUAUGACGGCAGCGGUAGUGAUAAUUUUCAAAAAAUCGUUGUGGGCGCUGUGUUGGAGCUAUGCGCACACUGUAGGUACCAGCACAUGCGCAUUGGGCUGCUCUUUCACAUGGUAUCUUUAAUAUCUUGCCUCGAGGUACGCUUUGUGCAGUACUGUCGAAAGAAAAGUGACCGUUUGAUAAUGGCUACAAGAUCUUCGUAGUACAACCUCAGCGAGGUUCUAGGGCAGCUAGACAGUGAGAAUAACUAUGCUUAUGGCCUUGUUGAGUAAGAGGACAGUGACUGGGAUCAUACUAAGAGAGGAAACUACUUUUCAGAGGUCAAGCUAUAAACAUAGAGCCUAAAGAGCCAGAGGAAGAAGCUCCUGAGCAUGAACCAAAGUCCUGGACCUUGUGAAGAAAACAUUUCCCGGGAAAAGAGCGUCUGCCGAUACGACCUCGCAGAGAAGUUUCUGCUGAUCCUGAUUGAACCAUGUCACCGUAAGAACAUUGAGAACACUUACUUAGUGUUUUUAGUUACUUCAUGCCUUCAUACAAUAUUCUUUAUGUUCAUAA